GUAACACCCGAAGUCGGUGAGGUAACCUUUUGGAGCCAGCCGCCGAAGGUGGGACAGAUGAUUGGGGUGAAGUCGUAACAAGGUAGCCGUAUCGGAAGGUGCGGCUGGAUCACCUCCUUUCUAAGGAUUUUAUACGAAAGACGUUUCCGUUUUGUUCAGUUUUGAAGGUUCGAUCCUUCAUGAGAUAAAAUGUUCUUUGAAAACUAGAUAUGAGAAGAAA
rnacentral:rRNA from 1 species